rfam:Paxillus involutus ATCC 200175 unplaced genomic scaffold PAXINscaffold_14, whole genome shotgun sequence.
GGCACGAUGGCCGAGCGGUCUAAGGCGCUGGAAUCAGGCUACACAAUAAAGCAUCCAGUCCGAAAGGGCGUGAGUUCGAAUCUCACUCGUGUCA